rnacentral:rRNA from 1 species
GAUGAACGCUGGCGGCGUGCCUAAUACAUGCGAGUCGAGCGAACGGACGAGGAGCUUGCUUCUCUGAUGUUAGCGGCGGACGGGUGAGUAACACGUGGAUAACCUACCUAUAAGACUGGGAUAACUUCGGGAAACCGGAGCUAAUACCGGAUAAUAUUUUGAACCGCAUGGUUCAAAAGUGAAAGUCGGUCUUGCUGUCACUUAUAGAUGGAUCCGCGCUGCAUUAGCUAGUUGGUAAGGUAACGGCUUACCAAGGCAACGAUGCAUAGCCGACCUGAGAGGGUGAUCGGCCACACUGGAACUGAGACACGGUCCAGACUCCUACGGGAGGCAGCAGUAGGGAAUCUUCCGCAAUGGGCGAAAGCCUGACGGAGCAACGCCGCGUGAGUGAUGAAGGUCUUCGGAUCGUAAAACUCUGUUAUUAGGGAAGAACAUAUGUGUAAGUAACUGUGCACAUCUUGACGGUACCUAGUCAGAAAGCCACGGCUAACUACGUG